GACAAACCAGUAAGAACUCAACUGUUUCCAUGUACACUCUUGUACACCUUUGCUAGAGUAUUGCAAGUAACUCCAUUACAAAUCGCAGGGAAUCAACUAUUGCAAUGUAUGAAUCUCGUAGGAAUUCUCUCACAACCUUGAAACAUGUUGCAAGCGACUCUGAUAUAAAUCAGCGAGAACUCUUAACUCUUUCAAUUUACGAAUGUUGUGAGAACCAGCAGGAACUCUUGUACGAACUAGUGAUAGCAUGAAAUCUACUAUUGCAAUUCAUGAAUCUUCUAGGAACACUUCCACAGUCUUGAAAGAAUGUUGCAAGCCAAUCUGACACAAACCAGCAAGAAGUCAAUUCUUUUCAUAUACGAACAUUGUAAGAACACUCGAACACCUUUGCCUGUUUGUUGAAAACAACCAUGUUACAAACAACAUGAACUCUAUUAUUGCAUUACACGAAAAUUGUGAGAACUCUCUUACAAGCUUGCAUGAAUCUCGCGACCUACUCUGUUAUAAACUAGUAAGUUCAGUACUUU
rnacentral:lncRNA from 1 species